GCCCAGUUGGUUAAGCAUCCAACUCCUGAUCUCACCUCAGGUCUUGAUCUCAGGGUUGUGAGUUCAAGUCCCACACUGGGCU
rnacentral:tRNA from 1 species